rnacentral:rRNA from 1 species
CGGUGGAUGAUGUGGAUUAAUUCGAUGCAACGCGAAGACCUUACUACCCUUGACAUGUCCGGAACUUGCCAGAGAUGGCUUGGUGCCCGAAAGGGAAUCGGAACACAGGUGCUGCAUGGCUGUCGUCAGCUCGUGUCGUGAGAUGUUGGGUUAAGUCCCGCAACGAGCCGCAACCCUUAUCAUUAGUUGCUACGCAAGGGCACUCUAAUGAGACUGCCGGUGACAAACCGGAGGAAGGUGGGGAUGACGUCAAGUCCUCAUGGCCCUUAUGGGUAGGGCUUCACACGUCAUACAAUGGUCGGUACAGAGGGUUGCCAAGCCGCGAGGCGGAGCCAAUCCCACAAAGCCGAUCGUAGUCCGGAUUGUUCUCUGCAACUCGAGAGCAUGAAGUCGGAAUCGCUAGUAAUCGCAGGUCAGCAUACUGCGGUGAAUACGUUCCCGGGUCUU